CGGCGGACGGGUGAGUAAUACCUGGGAAUCUGCCUGGUAGUGGGGGAUAACGUUCGGAAACGGACGCUAAUACCGCAUACGUCCUACGGGAGAAAGCAGGGGAUCUUCGGACCUUGCGCUAUCAGAUGAGCCCAGGUCGGAUUAGCUAGUAGGUGGGGUAAAGGCUCACCUAGGCAACGAUCCGUAACUGGUCUGAGAGGAUGAUCAGUCACACUGGAACUGAGACACGGUCCAG
rnacentral:rRNA from 1 species